UGUGAAAGUUUUCAGGUGGUUCCACGAG
rnacentral:piRNA from 1 species